rnacentral:rRNA from 1 species
GCGUAACAAGGUUUCCGUAGGUGAACCUGCGGAAGGAUCAUUAAUGAAUUCACUAUGGAGUUGUUGCUGGCCUCUAGGGGCAUGUGCACGCUUCACUAGUCUUUCAACCACCUGUGAACUUUUGAUAGAUCUGUGAAGUCGUCUCUCAAGUCGUCAGACUUGGUUGCUGGGAUUUAAACGUCUCGGUGUGACUACGCAGUCUAUUUACUUACACACCCCAAAUGUAUGUCUACGAAUGUCAUUUAAUGGGCCUUGUGCCUUUAAACCAUAAUACAACUUUCAACAACGGAUCUCUUGGCUCUCGCAUCGAUGAAGAACGCAGCGAAAUGCGAUAAGUAAUGUGAAUUGCAGAAUUCAGUGAAUCAUCGAAUCUUUGAACGCACCUUGCGCCCCUUGGUAUUCCGAGGGGCAUGCCUGUUUGAGUGUCAUUAAAUUCUCAAACUCACUUUGGUUUCUUUCCAAUUGUGAUGUUUGGAUUGUUGGGGGCUGCUGGCCUUGACAGGUCGGCUCCUCUUAAAUGCAUUAGCAGGACUUCUCAUUGCCUCUGCGCAUGAUGUGAUAAUUAUCACUCAUCAAUAGCACGCAUGAAUAGAGUCCAGCUCUCUAAUCGUCCGCAAGGACAAUUUGACAAUUGACCUCAAAUCAGG